GCCCAAGAGAUCGGGAUAACACCUGGAAACAGAUGCUAAUACCGGAUAACAACAGAUGAUGCCUAUCAACUGUUUAAAAGAUGGUUCUGCUAUCACUCUUGGAUGGACCUGCGGUGCAUUAGCUAGUUGGUAGGGUAACGGCCUACCAAGGCGAUGAUGCAUAGCCGAGUUGAGAGACUGAUCGGCCACAUUGGAACUGAGACACGGUCCAUACUCCUACGGGAGGCAGCAGAU
rnacentral:rRNA from 1 species